rnacentral:lncRNA from 1 species
UUUUUAAUAGCUCAAAAGUCUGAGAAUGUGGUGCAAUGGAUGGAGUUGUUUCUUCUUUAACCAGAGGUCUCAGGUUCAAAUUCUGGAUAUAAAAAAAUUCUUAAUAGGAAGCGCUUUCUUCAUAUGGCCCUUCGCAGCAUGAAUUGAGAUUAGUUCGGCUCCAAUGCAGAUCCCAAACACCUGAAGAAAAAAAAAGUCUUUAAAUACUUCGAAUCAACUUUUCCUUUCC